GGGAGUGGUUAGGUCCCGGUGGGCUUCCCGGUCUUCAAAAUCGGUGGCGGGUUGUUAUGCAGGCCGCGGUGGGUUCGACUCCCAUCCAUUCCCG
rnacentral:tRNA from 1 species